rnacentral:rRNA from 1 species
CGGUAAUUCCAGCUCCAAUAGCGUAUACUAAAGUUGUUGCAGUUAAAAAGCUCGUAGUUGGAUUUCUGCGGGGACGGAGCGGCCGGACGCAACUUGCGUCUCGAGCUAGCGCUUUCCCCGCAUCCUGCCGCGAACCGUGCUACCAUUAGCUUGGUGGCGCUGGGGAUCGGCUCGAUUACUUUGAGAAAAAUAGAGUGUUCAAAGCAGGCCACACGCCUUGAAUAAGUUAGCAUGGAAUAAUGACUAAGGACUUCGGUUCUACUUUGUUGGUGUUCGGGACUGAAGUAAUGAUUGAUAGGGACAGUUGGGGCGGUCUGUAUUCCAAAGCGAGAGGUGAAAUUCUUAGACCUUCGGAAGACAAACAGCUGCGAAAGCGUUCCGCAAGGAUGUUCCCUUUGAUCAAGAACGAAAGUUGGGGGAUCGAAGACGAUCAGAUACCGUCGUAGUCUCAACUAUAAACUAUACCAGCUAGGGAUCGGUCAACGUUUAAUCAUUCGACUUGAUCGGCACCUUAUGAGAAAUCAAAGCAUCUGGGUUCCGGGGGGAGUAUGGUCGCAAGGCUGAAACUUAAAGGAAUUGACGGAAGGGCACCACCAGCCGUGGAGCCUGUGGCUUAAUUUGACUCAACACGGGAAAACUUACCAGGUCCGGACAUAGUAAGGAUUGACAGAUUGAUAGCUCUUUCUUGAUUCUGUGGGUGGUGGUGCAUGGCCGUUUUUAGUCGGUGAAGUGAUUUGUCUGCUUAAUUGCGUUAACGGACGAGACCCCAGCCUGCUAAAUAGCGCGGCCGAGCUUUGCUCGGUGCGAGCUUCUUAGAGGGACCAUGAUGCGCGAUAGCACAAAGAAGUUUGGGGCAACAACAGGUCUGUGAUGCCCUUAGAUGUUCUGGGCCGCACACGGGCUACACUGGCGCCUGCAACGAGCAUAUCAGCUGGCCCGAGAGGGUCUUGGCUAAUCUUUGGAACCGGCGCCGUGCUUGGGAUUGACCAUUGCAAUUGUUGGUCAUGCAACGAGGAAUGCCUUGUAAACGCGAGUCAUCAGCUCGCAUUGAAUACGUCCCUGCCCUUUGUACACACCGCCCGUCGCUCCUACCGAUGGAUGUUCCGAUGAAAUUUUCGGAGAGCGCCAGAGAACGGGGCUCUGCCUUGCAGAUCUGGAGGCUCAAAGUCACUUAAAUCUGAACAUUUCGAGGAAGGAGAAGUCGUAACAAGGUAGCCG